UACGUAGGGGGCAAGCGUUGUCCGGAUUUAUUGGGCGUAAAGAGCGUGUAGGCGGCUAUACAGGUCCGUUGUGAAAACUGGAGGCUUAACCUCCAGACGUCGAUGGAAACCGUAUGGCUAGAGUCCGGAAGAGGAGAGUGGAAUUCCUGGUGUAGCGGUGAAAUGCGUAGAUAUCUGGAGGAACACCGGUGGCGAAGGCGGCAUCCUGGACCGGUAUUGACACUGAAAAGCGAAAGCCAGGGGAGCAAACGGG
rnacentral:rRNA from 1 species